GUCUCUUCGGAGACAUCCGAUAAAAUUGAAACGAGAUAGAGAAGAUUACUAUGGCCCCUGUGCAAGGAUGACACUCACAAAUCAAGAAAUGAUCCAAUAUUUU